rnacentral:rRNA from 1 species
GACGAACUGUCCUAACGUUGUUCGGAAUUACUGGGCGUAAAGCGUGCGCAGGCGGUUCGUUGUGUCCGUCGUGAAAGCCCCGGGCUUAACCUGGGAACUGCGAUGGAAACUAGCGAGCUGGAGUGUGGCAGAGGGGGGUGGAAUUCCGCGUGUAGCGGUGAAAUGCGUAGAUAUCAGGAGGAACACCGGUGGCGAAGGCGGCCACCUGGGCUAGGACUGACGCUGAGGCGCGAAAGCGCGGGGAGCGAACGGG